UGCCGAUGAUGAAACAAACGGUAUUUGCGCAAUGUAUGAAAGUUCGUGAUUACAUUUACAACUACUGCCUUCCUUCUGAGGCG